UACGUAGGGGGGCUAGCGUUGUCCGGAAUCAUUGGGCGUAAAGAGCGUGUAGGCGGCCCGGUAAGUCCGCUGUAAAAAGUCAAAGGCUCAACCUUUGAAUGUCAGUGGAUACUGCCGGGCUAGAGUCCGGAAGAGGAGAGUGGAAUUCCUGGUGUAGCGGUGAAAUGCGCAGAUAUCAGGAAGAACACCCGUGGCUAAGGCGGCUCUCUAGUACGGUACUGACGCUGAGACGCGAAAAGCGUGGGGGAGCGAACAGG
rnacentral:rRNA from 1 species